UGUAGCAGGUCCCAAGGGUUCGGCUGUUCGCCGAUUAAAGUGGUACGUGAGCUGGGUUUAGAACGUCGUGAGACAGUUCGGUCCCUAUCUGCCAUGCGUGUAGGAUAUUUGAGAGGAGCUGUCCCUAGUACGAGAGGACCGGGAUGGACGUACCUCUGGUGUACCAGUUGUUUCGCCAGAAGCAUCGCUGGGUAGCUAAGUACGGAAGGGAUAACCGCUGAAAGCAUCUAAGCGGGAAGCCUUCCUCGAGACUAGAUAUCCCUUGAGAGUCGUGGAAGACUACCACGUUGAUAGGCCAGGUGUGGAAGCGCAGUAAUGUGUGAAGCUAACUGGUACUAAUAACUCGAUCGGCUUUAGUUC
rnacentral:rRNA from 1 species